rnacentral:lncRNA from 1 species
GUGUGUGAAUUACUAGAUGAAUUAAAAAACAAUAAUGCUAGUCUUUGCCACUCUGCUUUUGGACGAAAAAUAUAGCAGUACACGACUGAAAAAAAAAAAAAAAGUUUGAAAAAAUAAAAAAAAAAAAAAAAAAAAAAAAAAAAAAAAAUGAGAACAGUUGAACAAUAAUUCAAGAAAGAAAGAAAGAAAGAUCGAACAAAUGUGAAUUUCAGAACAGAAAAUUGCUGGAACAGACCAUGGGUAGGGAAAAAAAUGUUCAAAAAGAGCUUUAGUUUUGACAAAUGUAAUUAUGUAAUUAUUAAGUCAAAAGAACAGUUUCAAUACAGAGAAAGGAUGGAAAAUUACAUUACUGAUAAAAAAUCUUGAAAUUGAAAAGUAUGCAACCUUUACCUUUUACUAAGAUCCAAUCAUAUAGAAAAUGUGUACCAUUACAGAGAUAUAAAACAUAAAAACAGAAGAAUAGAAGAAACAACACUUUGUAAGGGACACAUAGGAAAACUUUUAUAAACAAGGUAGACAAACAAAUAGAUUAUGGAUUUUCUUACUGGGCAGCAAGCAAUGCUGCAACCAAUGACUCAAAAAAUUUUAAUGCUCACUUUGCUAAUUAAAAAAAAUACCAGUUUGUCAUUGUUAUCUUAUGGCAGACAGUUAUUUUGUAUUGCUCCAUGCUAGGUAAGCCUAAACUGGAACAUUUUGACCAGUUUUAGAUACCACAGUAAGAAAGAUGUCAACAAAUUGGAACAAAUUGAAAGAACAGCAGAGAUACAAGGUUUUGAAAAUGUAUCCCAAAAGGAAAGAAUUAAAAGUAAAUUGAAUUUUAUCAGAGAAGACUAAAAUGUGAAAACAACAACAACAAGCCAAAGAACAGACAAACAAUCGAAACCAUAUUAUUUAGUUAUCCAACCUGUUAAGUCUCUGCAGUGUUUCCAGGAAGAGAUCACCAUAUCUUUUCUUCUAGAAAAGUUUGAUGCGGGGCAAGCAAAACAUACAGUUAAAUUCUGAAGACAGCGAAGUGUUUGAGAAGUCUCCUGUGGGGAAUAUUUCCUCUGGAACACCGGUAUGGCCAAAGGCAUGCUGGUACCAUGCCAUGGAGGCAAGCUGUCAGCUGAAAUCAUCACAGUCACAAACAUCAUCUCAGACUGAUUCCUGCAGUCUUGAAAACACAGUCUUUGGGGUAUCAUAGAGAAAUAUAUUGGAUGUCCAAGCUUGGUAUGAAUAUUCAGAGUUCCAGCCAAAGAGAUUACUACAGAAAUGUGAACAGUUCUUUGUGUUAGAGAAUUAUAUCUGCAAAUCAUCACCAGCUUAACGUAAAAAAAAAUAAAAAUAAAAAAAUAAAAAUAAAAAU